rnacentral:rRNA from 1 species
GACGAACGCUGGCGGUGUGCUUAACACAUGCAAGUCGAACGGUAAGGCCCUUUCGGGGGUACACGAGUGGCGCACGGGUGAGUAACACGUGAGUAACCUGCCCUCAUCUCUGGGAUAACAGUCGGAAACGGUUGCUAAUACUGGAUAUGAGCUUGCAAGGCAUCUUGUGGGUUGGAAAGAUUUUUUUGGUUGGGGAUGGACUCGCGGCCUAUCAGCUUGUUGGUGAGGUAGUGGCUCACCAAGGCUUCGACGGGUAGCCGGCCUGAGAGGGCGACCGGCCACAUUGGGACUGAGAUACGGCCCAAACUCCUACGGGAGGCAGCAGUGGGGAAUAUUGCACAAGGGACGGAAGUCUGAUGCAGCAACGCCGCGUGCGGGAUGACGGCCUUCGGGUUGUAAACCGCUUUCAAUUGUGACGAAGCUUUUUGUGACGGUAGCAGUAGAAGAAGCACCGGCUAACUACGUG